AAUAAUGCCUGUAAAAUGUUGGACAGGAACACCAUCAUUCACUGAUGGAGGACAACGAAAUUUGAGGACAGGAGCGCCAUCAUCUAGCAAUGGAGGAGGAGAAGAAAGACUUCUAUUAACUAAAACAAACAUCCAAUGAUGGAGAACAACAAAGAUGGAGGACCAGAGCACCAGCAUCCAAAAGUGACCCCAAUCAGCCCCAGGAGGAGACAUCAGCAGAGAACAGAAAGACUAUUAACCAAAACAAAAGGAACGCCAGCAUCCACCGAUGGAGGAGGAGAAGAAAGAUGGAGGAGCACCAGUGUCUACAGCGUCCCACAACCAACCUCAUGAGGAGACAUCAGCACAGGAUGAAGAUAAAGGAAGACUUCUAUCAAUCAAUCAUGAAAACAAAGAACACCAGCAUCCACUGAUGGAGGACAAGGAAGAUGGAGGACAGGAGCGCCAUCAUCUACCAAUGGAGGAGGAGAGGAAAGACUUCUAUUAA
rnacentral:lncRNA from 1 species